rnacentral:lncRNA from 1 species
CCGAUAAUGACGAGAAAAGAACUUUCCCUCAGAUCAAUUAAAUGCACCUUACUCAAAUAAUUACGGCCACAAAAUCGAAACUACCAUUCUGUAGCUAAACUGUUUAAUUAAAUAAUAGUUUUAAAGUCUUUCGCCGGAUUAAGAAGUCGUGCAACACAACAAGCGCAAUGGAUCUCGAUUGCUGGAUUCCCUUUAUAGGCCCUAUAUAUUUGAUUUGAAUGCCCCCGAAGACUUCCGUUAGCUAUUUGGCAACGAUAAAGUCCGAGAAUAAACUGGACCCCUGCUGUUGUUUCACUGUUAUCGGGUGCCGAAGUAUCAAUCAGCGGGUGACCAGUUUAGUCCGAGAACUCGUGUGUACAAUGAUGUUCUCGAUUCAACUACGGAAUCGUCAUUUGACAUUGACUGUGAAUCUGAAUUGGUCAGUGAAUUAACGGAUGAGAAAAUAAUUAUAAAAAGCAAAAUCGCUCCACGUCGGACAUCUCCCAACGACGAGCGUGAUUGACGGAGUGGCGUUUGAUUUAUAAACAAAAAUGUAGCAAAACGUCUUUCUUCAUCUUCUUUAAUUUUUACAUUUACAUCUAAAUCAAC